GGAGGCAUGCAGAGGCCAAAUUGAGCUCCGUACCACAUCGCUGUGUCCCUCCAAAAAUGUAACAAUGCAGAGGGCUCCGUAUAGCUCCAUAUAGCUCCACCUUGAUAUUAUUGGUUGACAGUGGGGUUGAGAGGUCCUGUAUAAAUACAAACUCACUUCCUUGACAACUUCCUUCACAACAGCUCUACUCAACAGCUCUGCUCUGCUCUGCUCCACGAAGCGCAAGAAGACCUGAGCCCUAGGACCAUGCCUCAGGACUACCUGGCCUGAUGACGCCUGGCUGUCCACAUUCCACCUGUUCGUGCUGCUGCUCCAGUUUCAACUAUUCUGCCUGUGGCUACACCUGGUCAGUCUACAGACCUGAGCCCAAGGACCAUGCCUCAGGACUACCUGGCAUGAUGGCUCCUUGUUGUCCCCAGUCCACCUGGCCAUGCUGCUGCUCCAAUUUCAACUGUUCUGCCUGCGUCUAUGGAAUCCUGACAUGUUUACCGGACAUGCUACCUGUCCCAGACCUGAUGUUUUCAAAUCUCCAGAGACAGCAGGAGUGGUAGAGAUACUCUUAAUGAUCGGCUAUGGAAUGCCAACUGACAUUUACUCCUGAGGUGCUGACUUGUU